ACACUAAUACGGGAGGCAGCAGUAGGGAAUCUUCCGCAAUGGACGAAAGUCUGACGGAGCAACGCCGCGUGAGUGAUGAAGGCUUUCGGGUCGUAAAACUCUGUUGUUAGGGAAGAACAAGUGCUAGUUGAAUAAGCUGGCACCUUGACGGUACCUAACCAGAAAGCCACGGCUAACUACGUGCCAGCAGCCGCGGUAAUACGUAGGUGGCAAGCGUUAUCCGGAAUUAUUGGGCGUAAAGCGCGCGCAGGUGGUUUCUUAAGUCUGAUGUGAAAGCCCACGGCUCAACCGUGGAGGGUCAUUGGAAACUGGGAGACUUGAGUGCAGAAGAGGAAAGUGGAAUUCCAUGUGUAGCGGUGAAAUGCGUAGAGAUAUGGAGGAACACCAGUGGCGAAGGCGACUUUCUGGUCUGUAACUGACACUGAGGCGCGAAAGCGUGGGGAGCAAACAGGAUUAGAUACCCUGGUAGUCCACGCCGUAAACGAUGAGU
rnacentral:rRNA from 1 species